AUCUGGGCGUUUUGACCCCUUUAUUGGCUGCUAAACAGUGAUAAAAUCUGCGUGAAAGUCCAUAGUUAUUUGUUUUCAUUUUUUCAUUGAAAGCUUGGUGUUUUCCCCUCUUCCCGAGUUAAUGUUCUCAUCGUUAUAAUAUGCUUAUUUCGCUAUUAUCUCGAUUGAUAGGCUGUGAAAGUUAUGGUUCAAUCUCGAAAAUUGAAGUCAUCUUCUAUAGAUGAUUUCGAUCUUCUGAUAUAUAUACGUACACAUGUUGUUUUCUCUUCGUGUUGCUUAAAUCCAUGUAAGUCACAUGAGUUGAUCGUUUUACCAUUUUAUUUGCUCAUUCGUACCUCCCGCUCUUAACAGGACCUUAGUCCGCUUGUUAGUACUUUGCAUCUCUAAACCUUGCUGUUAACAAUCUUAAUGUCUUCCCUUUGUUAUCUUUCAUGUUGUUUCAUUCGCAAUGAAUCUGCCUCCUUUGCAUGUUUCGAUAUCAACUUCCAGUUUAUUUUUUGAUAAAUUGCAAAUAUGCACUAUUGUGAAUGUGUAGCCAUCCUCUCGGAUUUGCUUGCUUAUAUUGUUUUAAUAUUCUUUCGUGCUUGUAAAAAUUGAUACAUGGCUCCUUCAAUACUCUUCUUUUCUUUGCUUAGUUUGGUCAACGCCUUAAAGAUUAAAAUCAACAGCGAUUAACUGGAUAAUUCGUUAUUUUCUUUAAGUGGAGCAUUUAAGUUAGAUUUUCCUUAGCUUGUUGAUACAAGAGCCAUUUGCAUUAAUGUUGCCAUGAUUAUUCUAUAUUUGUUCUUAUUUUGUUCCAAGCUUAUAAUAGUAUAAAAGUUGUUUUUUUUAUUUAUUUUUUAUUUUUUAUUUUUUUUAUUUUUUUUUUUCAUUAUUCUUCUCUACAGUCAUGUUGAUACAAGAUAUGCUUGCGUGUUGUGUAUGUUGCCAGUCGUUUUGUUUCUAAGCUUGAAAAAAUGUCUCCGUGUGCGGACCUUUGCUUGAAAUGUUGAUGAUUCAUACUUAUAUUUUGUCUUGUGUGUGUUCACUGUUGGUUAGCUACCAUUGUUGGAUUUGCUCUCUUUACAUGUCGUAGGUCGAUUAUUUGCUUGUAUAUUGACCAACAUAACCAAUCUGGACCGAUUAGCUUACUGCCUAUAUCUCAUACCGAUUUUGGGUUGUUUAAAGCAUAUCUCUUUGGUCGAUCAGUGAAAUGAUGAGUUCAUUUAUAAGUUGACAUGAUUUGAUGCUUUAAAAUUCUUCACAAAGGGUCAUCUCAUAUUGUAUCUCGUGUUGGUCUUCUAAAAUAUGUUGUGGUCAAAUGCCGUGAUGGUUCAUGUUUGUUGUCGGUCUUGACAUGUCUUGCUACUCUUGCGGUCAUCAAAAAAAAAAAAUCGGCUCAAAGUCGGCAUUGUGAAAAUUGAAUCAAGAUUCUUAUUUUAUUAGUUUCCUGUUUAUUGUUUGUCGGCUAACUGUGAAGUCUGGCUGCAAGUAAUUAAUUUUUUUUGUCACCCUUAGGAUAAAAAUCAUCGCUUUGCUUCGAGUUAGUUUAAUGUCGGCUGAUUACUCAAUUUUUUUGAAGCUUAGAAAUCACUCCCUUUCAGUGUGUUGUUUUGCUAGUCAAAAUUUGCAGCAGCUUUCCUUUGUAUUUUUUUAUUAAUUUACAGUGACUCUUUAACCCAUAAUAUAUGUUUCCGAUUUGUAGAAUAGGUUACCCUUUAAACUUAUGUGUUCUGUUUCUUUUUCUUUGCAUUUUGGUGCACAAAAUAUUGUUGGGUAGCAAUUCAUGACUUUGUUGUCUCGGUUCUAAAUAAAAUUCUUUAUGGUUGGAUCAAUCGUUUGAAAUCGGGUCAUAUGUCUACUUCAUUUCGAAGGAUGUCCUCUUACCUUGCAAUUUCACACUCCUUAGAUUGAUAGUUCGCUGAUGUUUAUUUAAUUAUUUGUAUUGUGAUUUUUAACUUCUUAUUAUUCUCCGUUUUGCAUGUGAAAUUCGGCCGAGUCUAAUUGACUCAAAUCCUUGCAUAUCGUUGAGUUGUAUCGUGUUCGAGUCAGCCUCAUCUUGUCCGAAUGAAAAAGGAAGGAAUUACAGGGGCUGGAGAUUGAAAAUAUAUUCUGGAAAAGCUAAAACCAGGCUGAAAAAUGGCCUGUAUACAGUGAUAUACCUGCUGUGUACGUUAGUAUAUAGACGGAAACGCAGUAUACGAGUUUGAAAAAAAUAAAAACACAGGUUGCAGGCGUCAAAAGGAUUGUAUACGCUUGGUAUAUGGUCCGAUAUACAAGAAAACGGGUCAAAAUACGAUCCGUAUACAAAGUAUACACUCAAUGUAUCACGAUUUUCAGGAGCGAAAAUGGGCUGAAAGAGGCCCAAAACGCACCAAUAGGCCCAAAUUUGGAUAUUUCUUCCCUUAACCCUUCAUUUUAUAUUAUAUUGAUUGACUAACUUUAUUUGUUCCACGAUUAAAUUUAAUUAAUUCCCUAAGAUAGUCAUUUCUCUUUUAUGUUCAAAAAAUAUAAAUAUUUAUUAUAUAUAUAUUUUAUCUACUUAGCUUUUAUUUUAUUGUUA
rnacentral:lncRNA from 1 species